UCCGGUGUGGUUUAGUCGGUUAUAAUAUGUCAGGAUAGGAGCCUGUUGCAGGAUCCGCCUGACAAGACCCAAGUUCGAUCCUUGGCGCCGGAC